rnacentral:rRNA from 1 species
UGUAAAGGAUAGUCUUUACUAGAGCUAUUUUUAAUCCAAGUUCUCUUGAAUGGGGCGUUUCCCAUAGCGGGUGUAAGGCCUCUAGGGUUACAAAGUGCUUUAGUUUUGGUUGUCCCGAGAGUCGGGUUGCUUGAGAUCGCAGCCCUAAGACGGGUGGUAAAACUCCAUCCAAGGCUAAAUACCGUCGCGAGACCGAUAGCGAACAAGUACCGUGAGGGAAAGUUGAAAGAACUUUGAAGAGAGAGUUCAAUAGUACGUGAAACCGUAUAGGGGUAAACGGGUGGAAGCGCUUAAUCGAGUCGAAGAAUUCAGAUUAGCAUUAGGUUUUCAGUUGGCGCACUUUAUAGUCUUGCUAGAAGUGUCCAAUAACAAAGCUGAUGCUGGUUGCACUUUUUUCGUAUUCGAGCGCCUCGACAGAUUGCCAUUUGCGCGCACACUAAUGGUA